rnacentral:rRNA from 1 species
UACGGGGGGGGCAAGCGUUGUUCGGAAUUACUGGGCGUAAAGGGCUCGUAGGCGGCCAACUAAGUCGGACGUGAAAUCCCUCGGCUUAACCGGGGAACUGCGUCCGAUACUGGAUGGCUUGAGUAUGGGAGAGGGAUGCGGAAUUCCAGGUGUAGCGGUGAAAUGCGUAGAUAUCGAGAGGAACACCUGCGGCGAAGGCGGGUUGCUGGGCUGACACUGACGCUGACAGCGCGAAAGCUAGGGGAGCGAACGGG